AAGGAUUUAAGUUAUAUUAAACUUGGAACCUUCAAAGUCCCAUAAAAAGAUUUUUCUUUAAGCCUUA
rnacentral:tRNA from 1 species